GGUUGAUCCUGCCAGUAUUAUAUGCUGAUGUUAAAGAUUAAGCCAUGCAUGUGUAAGUUUAAAGACCAAGUAGGAUGAAACUGCGGACGGCUCAUUAUAACAGUAAUAGUUUCUUUGGUUAGUCGGUACAAGGAUAACUUUGUGAAUGAUAAAGCUAAUACUUGAGACGAUCCGGGAAGUAGUUUACUUUCUGGCCCCUGGCCGCAGGGUUGGGGAAAAACGACAUUCUCUUGUGAAAAAGGAUGCCGCGACAAUUGAGGAAAGCGACGCUUUUAACAAGUAACCAAUGGGAA
rnacentral:rRNA from 1 species